UACGUAGGGUGCGAGCGUUAAUCGGAAUUACUGGGCGUAAAGCGUGCGCAGGCGGUUUUGUAAGCCAGGUGUGAAAUCCCCCGGGCUCAACCUGGGAAUGGCAUUUGGGACUGCAAGGCUGGAGUGCGGCAGAGGAGACUGGAAUUCCUGGUGUAGCAGUGAAAUGCGUAGAUAUCAGGAGGAAUACCGAUGGCGAAGGCAGGUCUCUGGGCUGACACUGACGCUCAUGCACGAAGCGUGGGGAGCGAAACAAG
rnacentral:rRNA from 1 species